UUCCUACGGGAGGCAGCAGUGGGGAAUAUUGGACAAUGGGCGAAAGCCUGAUCCAGCCAUGCCGCGUGUGUGAAGAAGGUCUUCGGAUUGUAAAGCACUUUAAGUUGGGAGGAAGGGUUGUAGAUUAAUACUCUGCAAUUUGACGUACCGACAGAAUAGCCCCUUUU
rnacentral:rRNA from 1 species